ACAGGUGUGGGCCAAUGGUAAGCCAGCUGCCUUUGAAGCAGUUAAUUGGAGGUUCGAAUCCUUCCGCCUGUG
rnacentral:tRNA from 1 species